UACGAAGGGGGCUAGCGUUGUUCGGAAUCACUGGGCGUAAAGGGCGCGUAGGCGGCUUUAUAAGUCGGGGGUGAAAGCCUGUGGCUCAACCACAGAAUUGCCUUCGAUACUGUAUGGCUUGAGACCGGAAGAGGUAAGUGGAACUGCGAGUGUAGAGGUGAAAUUCGUAGAUAUUCGCAAGAACACCAGUGGCGAAGGCGGCUGACUGGUCCGGUUCUGACGCUGAGGCGCGAAAGCGUGGGGAGCAAACAGG
rnacentral:rRNA from 1 species